rnacentral:rRNA from 1 species
AGAGUUUGAUCAUGGCUCAGAUUGAACGCUGGCGGCAUGCCUUACACAUGCAAGUCGAGCGGCAGCGCGGGGGCAACCCUGGCGGCGAGCGGCGAACGGGUGAGUAAUGCAUCGGAACGUGUCCUCUUGUGGGGGAUAACCAGUCGAAAGACUGGCUAAUACCGCAUGAGAUCGAGAGAUGAAAGCAGGGGACCGCAAGGCCUUGCGCGAGAGGAGCGGCCGAUGCCGGAUUAGCUAGUUGGUGGGGUAAAAGCCUACCAAGGCGACGAUCCGUAGCUGGUUUGAGAGAACGACCAGCCACACUGGGACUGAGACACGGCCCAGACUCCUACGGGAGGCAGCAGUGGGGAAUUUUGGACAAUGGGGGCAACCCUGAUCCAGCCAUGCCGCGUGUGUGAAGAAGGCCUUCGGGUUGUAAAGCACUUUCGGACGGAACGAAAUCGCGCGGGUGAAUAUCCCGCGUGGAUGACGGUACCGUAAGAAGAAGCACCGGCUAACUACGUGCCAGCAGCCGCGGUAAUACGUAGGGUGCGAGCGUUAAUCGGAAUUACUGGGCGUAAAGUGUGCGCAGGUGGCUUCGCAAGUCGAGUGUGAAAGCCCCGGGCUUAACCUGGGAAUUGCGCUCGAAACUACGGAGCUGGAGUAUGGCAGAGGGAGGUGGAAUUCCACGUGUAGCGGUGAAAUGCGUAGAGAUGUGGAG